UCUUGGAAGCUGGUGAGAAACUCCCAAGC
rnacentral:piRNA from 1 species